UACGUAGGGUCCAAGCGUUAAUCGGAAUUACUGGGCGUAAAGCGUGCGCAGGCGGUUCGUUAAGUCAGCUGUGAAAGCCCCGGGCUCAACCUGGGAAUGGCGGUUGAAACUGGCGAACUUGAAUCUGGCAGAGGGGGGUGGAAUUCCGCGUGUAGCAGUGAAAUGCGUAGAUAUGCGGAGGAACACCGGUGGCGAAGGCGGUUCUCUGGGCAUUACCUGACGCUGAGGAGCGAAAGUGUGGGGAGCGAACAGG
rnacentral:rRNA from 1 species